AUAUCUCGGCAGGUUUAAAGACGCACUACACUUGACACUAAAUGCAAUAGUAUAUAUUUCCGAACAAGAAUGCUAACCUUUGGCCCUAGCUUGAACCUUGACGAGCAAACAGCUAACAUAUGCACCUCAUGCUCCUAACACAGUGUAUACCGUGGAGCAAAGGUAGUUUAUAAUGAGAAACAGUUGUGGUCGCUUAGCCACCAGAGGUAUGAACGUCUCAGAAAUGCAUCGGGGAAACCUAUCCUGACAUUUAUGAUCCAUAACCAUUUAAUGCACAUGAAGACCUAAUUCGAUGUAUGAGCAGAUACGAGUGCACAGAAGCCUAUCCUCACAAUCAGCUGAUAUUCCUACAAAUGCCAAUGCAGUAUCCUUGACAACACUGAUGCUGGGCGCCCUGUCGUACUGGCUCACUUAUUCUAGUGGAUAUUUUAGAAUUGGAGGAAAAUAGACAACUGAAUGUGAAUCUUGCUACAGACAGUGCAACCCCGGGGAGGCACUUAAAAAUCCAUUUUAUUUUGGCACUAGUAACCUAGAUGCCUAUGAAACCGUGAACGAAUAUCGGUCAGAGUCGGUUAUAAUUAUAUAAUCACCAAAUGCACGGCAAAGAACAAGCUUCCAGUAUGAUUCUGGAGAUAGAGCUACACGCCGAUGGAACACGGAUAAAAAUACACCAAGAAUUGAUGAUGCAGUCGCAGCGUUCUUCGGCCUCAGCGUGAACGAUGUUACCAAACAUUGGCAGCAGACUUGCAGGAAUCCGAUGCUGUGCUUGGAGUGGUGCCAAAAUCUUGCCCAUUGAAUGAUCCGCUGUAGCAAAAGUAUUGAUCAUGUGUAAGUCGGUCGAGGGCAUUUCGUGACCUUGGUGGAUUUAAUAAGCGCCCAUAGUUUUUUCGUUCAUUCUCUUGUGCUAUUAUUACUGCCUUACAACUCGAUACGGCCACCGGUUUUAAGAACGUCUUGGUAUUACUGCGACUGGGAGGGUUCCCAGUCCAAACUGACGGCUUACCAACUGUGUAAACACAGCGACUAAACUCUACCAAUGAA